GGGGGGGGGGGGGGGGAGCCAUCCCGAAGAAGCUGGCUCCCCCAUUCUUUUUUAGGGCUUCUCCUCUCAUUGAAGGGAUUGGAAGAGGAGCCGCUGCCAGCCGAGAGAGAGGGAGAGAGAGAGAGAGAGCCGCUGAAGCCCCGCUCCUCUUCGGUUCGGGUGGUCUUUCGCUACUUUCUUUACCGCCGGAGAAGAAAAAAGCCGCCGGAUCUUCGCCGAGGCUGAGGUUCUGCAAGGAAUUUGUGAGAUUAAUUGGAUUGUUGUGGAUCGCGUUCAAUAUCCGAAGAGUUAGCUCGAUCCGGGGUUUUACAAUAUGGGAGAGCGAAUACAAGAAUUAUGACACAAGUUAUCUUAGAUUAGGUUUUAUUUAAAUUAAUGUUCUAUCUUUAUUGUUUCGCUGCGCAUUGAGAACUGUGAAACUUUAUAAUUUGUGUCGGUCAAUGGAAUAAGAUUGCAUUUAUUUCAGCUGAA